rnacentral:lncRNA from 1 species
CUACAUCUUGCAAGGUAUCAAGCCUAAAACAUUUGAAGAACUUGCAACGCGUGCCCAUGACAUGGAAUUGAACAUGGCCUCCACUGGAAAUGAAAGCUUGCCCAUCUAUGAACCUUGCAAAGGGAAAGACAAGCAAGAAGUCAGGAAGUGGGGAAAGUUCUACCCAAGUCUGAAAGCAAAGAAGCUAUGAAUGUCAACACGUCACCUGUGAAAUUCACGACGAAGGUGAGCAAGAAACAGAGUAUGAAAUCACUUAUUUUCAAGAUAAGCCAAGUAGAAAAUUGACUCUAAAAGAAAUGCAAGAGAAAGAGUACCCAUUUCUGGAUUCUAAUGUGCCAGCCAUUUUCGAAGAACUCCUCGAGUUGAAUCUCAUUGAGCUUCCGGAGAUGAAGCGACCAAAUGAAUCUGGGAAAACAAAUGACCCAAAUUACUGCAAAUACCAUCGACUUGUGAUCCACCCUUUGGAGAAGUUCUUUCUCUUCAAGGACAAAGUCAUGGACUUGGCUCGCGAAAAGAAGAUCAUGCUUGAAGAUGAGAAAGUAAGCGCAAACCAAGUCUCUAUCACCUUUGGCUCAUUUAGUACGGAUGCAUUAUAUGGUAUUAAAAAAAGUAAAGAUGAAGAAUUACUAGAGAAUAACAAAAUCGAAGUAGACCACCAUGAUGAUGAUGAAGGUUGGACAUCUCGCCGUAGGUGCCACAAAAAGAGCCCACGAAAAGAAUCAGUAGAACAACUAACAAAGAAAAUGAUGGUGAAAAGACCAAGGAGAUGGAAUCCAGUUAAGAAUUUGAAGAAAGCAAAAGUGGAGGUGCACCAUCCUCAAAAGCCACGACAUCCAGUGACCUUGGAGGAGUUCUUACCAAGUUGCUUCCGCACAAAGCUUUACCAUGAGUGCAUUGAUGCCUUUUGUUGCCAUGCUGACAAAGGAGAAGAAAAGAGUGAUGAACUGCCAUUGAUACCAUCUUUGGAAAAGCUCGUCGAGUUCAUUCCUCAAGAAGUUAAUACUUGUGAGGAAAAAGUUACGUUCACGAAUGACGAUCUUCUAUUUGGUGACACUCCUCAUAACUGCCCAUUAUACCUGGUUGGCUAUAUGCGCAAUAAAAGUACAAAUCGAUUAUUGGUUAAUGGAGGAUCCUCAGUAAAUAUCUUGCCAAUUCGCACUGUGAAAGAACUUGGUAUUCCCAUGAAUGAACUCUCGAAAAGUCGUGUGAUGAUUCAAGGAUUCGACCAAUGGGGGCAAAGAGCCAUAGGUGUGAUCAGGUUGGGAAUCACCAUUGAAGAUAUGCAAUCAAGUGCAUGGCUACAUGUGAUCGAUGCAAAGACUUCAUACAACGUCUUGCUUGGAAGGCCUUGGAUACAUGAGAAUAAAGUAGUUCCAUCUACCUACUAUCAAUGUCUAAAAUACUACAAGGGUGAAGUCGAGAAAAAGAUAGUUGCUGAUGAUGAGCCAUUUACCGAGGUUGAGUCACACUUCGCUGAUGCAAAGUUCUACUUGAAGAACCCUAUGGUGAAGGAGUUAAAAGCUGAUGAUGACAUGAAAAACAAGAAUGACGAUCCCACAACUAAAAAAGCAGAGGUGACUACUGGUAAAGCCAAAGAUACUAAGGAGGUACAACCCAAAACGAAUAAAUCUUAUAGAGGGAAUAUUGCGUCUUAUGGCAAGAAAGUAAGUCCUGCGCUCCAAUAUGACCCUAAAAGGAAGAAAGAUGAAGGGAAUCUUCUAAUCUCCAAACUGACAUGCUAAAGGAGUUAACUCUUCUAGUAAAACGAAUUGAGUUAGUAAAGUUGUCCUCAAAGCCACUUGCAGGGAUUGUAGCCAAAAAUCGUUUGUAGAAUGUGGCACUCCUUACAAAGCGAACAGAUGAAGGUUUUGAUCCUAACGCUUACAAGCUAUGCAAAAGCUGGAUACAAUUCUAAUGAGCCGUCAAAGUUAGGGAAGCUACCAUCAGAAGCUGCAACGCGACAACCACGUGAAGGUUUGGGAUACAAGCAACUGUCACUAGUGUGCAUCUCCAUAAGAAGGGCGAGCAACAAUUAUAUCACUGUAGAAGAUGAAUCGGCCACUUCUAACAAGCCUUCUGCCUUUGAUCGACUUGAAAAAUCUCAUGUGAGGACUUUCAUGUUUGAGAGAUUGGGUCUAUUAAAGAAGGGGAACAAGUUCUAGAGAAAUUUUCAAAGCAUAAGAACACCCGCUUCGCCCAUAAUUCAGAAGAUCUCUAAUGAUUUCCAAAAUUUGGUUCCUUUUAGAAUGAGGCGACAAACAAAACUUGUCGUUUCAUGUAAAGAAGUAUUGAAGGUCUGUGGUCUACACUAAGGAAUGUGACGAAGAUGAAGAAAGUGUGGGUUCUUAGUAUCAUGUCACUGUACAAGGCGAGGAUGGUAUUCUAUCUUCGAUGGAGGAUAAUGCAGAAUUGGAGGAUGUGUCACCGUGUUAUCACGUAUCCUUUAAUGAUGGGGACCCUCAAGAAGAUGAAGAUGCGAAAUAUGCUCUACCUGAACUUGAAGAAGGAGUGAAGACGACAGUUGAUGCCUUAAAAGAAGUUAACCUUGGCACCGAUGAAGAACCAAGACCCACCUACCUAAGUGCUUCACUAGAAGUUGAUGAAGAAAGCACUUAUAUUAAGUUACUCAAGGAGUUCAGGGAUGCCUUUGCUUGGAGUUACAAAGAGAUGCCUGGCUUGGACCCAAAAGUAGUGGUCCAUCACCUUGCAGUCAAAAAUGGUGCUCGCCCUGUAAAACAAGCUCAAAGGCGCUUUAGGCCAGACUUGGUUCCCUUUGUCACACCUCCUUUUUCUGCCCCGGAAGAGGUAUAAGGGAGUUUUUCCAAUUAAUGUGACAAUAAUCAAAACGGGAUUAUUUAUUUAAAAUUCAGAGUCUCCACUUGGGAUAAUUUAUGGUGUCCCAAGUCACCGGUUUAAAAUCCCGAAUCGAGGAAAGUUGACUCUUAUUUAUGGUCUGCGAACACAGAAAUCAGGGUAAGGAAUUCUGUUAACCCGGGAGAAGGUGUUAAGCAUUCCUAGGUUCUGUGGUUCUAGCACGGUCGCUCAACUAUUAAUAUUGGCCUAAUUAUCAGAUUAAUUACACAUUUUAAACCUACGUGCAUUUUUUACUUUCUAACUGUUUUUAAUGUUUAUAGAAUUAUUUUCUGGAACAAGUCACGAUUGUCGUACAUAUCGCGAACCGCAUCACAUGAAAUGCACCCGUGAUUUAUAACAUGUUUAUUUCAUUAUUAUUCAAAAGUAUGAUCGGGUCACAUGAAAUGCACACCCGAAUUGAGAUUUACGUAUCAUAGGAACCGUACCUAUGGCCACAAUAAUUAUUCAUAUUGCGAAUCACGCCACGUGAAAUGUACCUGUGAUUUACUAACAUGUUUAUUAUUAAUACUAGUAAGACUUUUCCAAACACUCCUUAAAUAGCCUUAAUUUUAGAAGAGAUCGAUUCUGGUACUACUAUAUGACCUUUAUAUGUAAUAAGUAUAAUUUUAACACAUUAAUGAGUAAACAUAGAAAUUCAAGGCGAGAAUUACAUACAAAGCAGAUAGCAUAAGGCUGAAGCAAAAUACUAACAAUAAAGUGUUUCAUUUCUCAAAAACAAAAAAUUUCUGCACCAUGGAUAACUAGAAGAGCACCAGUAACAAGGUAAUACCUGGAUUUUAAGCGCAAAUGGACCUUGAUUUACCAAAUAAAACACACAAGUCCUUUUAUAUAUGAAAAUCUCUCUAACACAAAGGCGAAAGUUCGGCAAGAACUCAUCGGGAAACAAAGGACUCGCCGGCAACUACACAAACUCGACUAAAGAACAACGAACUAGUAAUCGACGGGACCAACGAAGGGACCUCAAACUACUCGGAAGGCUUCGAACCUCAAGCGACUCGAACACGGACUUCAAAUGAGGAAUUUGAGGUCGCGACAACCUCUGUUUUGAGGCUGAAAGAUGAGAAGAUGGGUCGCUGGACGUUGGCGGUUCUCUAGAAUGAAGGAUUUCCAGCUACCCUUUCCUUAGAGAUCUUAUGGACGCUGUUGUGUGUAGAAGACGAAGGAAAACGGCUAGGAUCUACGGCUGAAGUUUGAAGAUGAAGAGUCUUCAGCAUGUAAAAAAUGGCUCCUCUUUAGAUAGGGAUUCUAGGUUUUAUUUGUUGUCAAAAAAUCGAUGGAAACGGCUCUUGGAGAAGAAGGAACUUAGCUUCCAAAAAAAAUGGAAAAAAAACUGAUGAGAAAUUCUUCUGUCUUAAGUCUUCAUGAAGAAGAUGGUCAAGGUUCGGGGGGGGGGGGGGUCGUGUGUAUUGCGGCGGGUCUUAGGGGUCUCUAGGUCUGUUUUCUGUAUAUUCAGCUGAUCGCUUUAAGUCUAGGGUCUGUAGCCUAGGUCUCUAGGUUAAUUCUUUCAUUUUUUUGGUUUUUCCUUUGAUUUUUUCAAGAAGCCAAACGGCGGAU